UACGUAGGGUGCGAGCGUUGUCCGGAAUUAUUGGGCGUAAAGAGCUCGUAGGCGGUCUGUCGCGUCGAUCGUGAAAACUUGGGGCUUAACCCUGAGCUUGCGGUCGAUACGGGCAUGACUGGAGUUCGGCAGGGGAGACUGGAAUUCCUGGUGUAGCGGUGAAAUGCGCAGAUAUCAGGAGGAACACCGGUGGCGAAGGCGGGUCUCUGGGCCGAUACUGACGCUGAGGAGCGAAAGCGUGGGAGCGAACAGG
rnacentral:rRNA from 1 species